GCCUUUGUGGUGUAGUGGUCAGCACGCUCGACGCGUAACCGAGAGGUCCGUGGUUCGAUUUCCGGCGAAAGCG
rnacentral:tRNA from 1 species